GAGUUACAACAUUGGAUUACACAAGUUCUAAUAUUAACUAGUUACUCUCUCAUCACUAAAAUUGUAUAAAGUGUAUAAGAAAUUUUUAGGAUCAAGAUGAGAGUAGAGAAGAAGGUGUUUUUUUUAAACUUGUGUGUUUUAAAAUGAAAAUGUUUCCUCCUUUUAUAGUAAAAGAUUUACACUAGUUUAGAAACUUUGGUAAGGCCCGAUCUGGUCUAUAAUUAAUUAGGCUAAUCAAUUAUGACUUAGAA
rnacentral:lncRNA from 1 species